ensembl:lncRNA
CCAAUCUAUCAGAGCUCUUGCAGCAUGAACUGACAUGUUGUCCACCCAAUCAAAGGAUCAAAAAAAUGAAUCUAACACUGGAAGCAUAAGCUACAGCUAGCUAGCACUAGAGUACAUAAAAUGUGGUGAGUAGUUGACUCAAAGAGAGAUAAUAGUUUAACCUUUUUGAACAAAUUAAUUCUUCAAAAAUGAAGGAGAAGCGAAAGAGAGAGCGAGAUAGCUAUAUUUUGUCACUUAACUAGUGAAUGAAGCUAGGUAGUGUAGCCUACUCAAACACCCAGUUCAAACAGAUGGAUGCCAUGUUAGCUAUCUGGCUAUGGCUACCCAACACUGGAACUCUUCCAAGUCAAGAUGCAUGGUCGAGAGUGCUUGCAGAGGAUGAGAGAGACAUUUGGACAGUAGUUAUUGUUGACCUGAUGGCCUGCAAAAUGGAAAAACAGUGUGGUUCGUCAAGCCCCCCUACUUCCGGAGUGAGGUGUUCACUGCUCUUUGUCAAGAUCUAAAGUAACUUGGAGAGGGACCAGAGCUACUUGGCGAGCCACACCACACGGGACAUGUCUGUGGAAUUUUUGUCGAGGCAACCUAUAUCCCAUGGACGCCUUGACCUGAGCCCUAGGACCAUGCCCCAGGACUACCUGACAUGAUGACUCCUUGCUGUCCCCAGUCCACCUGGCCGUGCUGCUGCUCCAGUUUCAACUGUUCUGCCUUAUUAUUAUUCGACCAUGCUGGUCAUUUAUGAACAUUUGAACAUCUUGGCCAUGUUCUGUUAUAAUCUCCACCCGGCACAGCCAGAAGAGGACUGGCCACCCCACAUAUGCUCUCUCUAAUUCUCUCUUUCUUUUGCUCUCUCGGAGGACCUGAGCCCUAGGACCAUGCCCCAGGACUACCUGACAUGAUGACUCCUUGCUGUGCCCAGUCCACCUGACCGUGCUGCUGCUCCAGUUUCAACUGUUCUGCCUUAUUAUUAUACGACCAUGCUGGUCAUUUAUGAACAUUUGAACAUCUUGG